AUUGAACGCUGGCGGCAGGCUUAACACAUGCAAGUCGAGCGGGGAAGAGUAGCUUGCUACUUAACCUAGCGGCGGACGGGUGAGUAAUGCUUAGGAAUCUGCCUAUUAGUGGGGGACAACAUCUCGAAAGGGAUGCUAAUACCGCAUACGUCCUACGGGAGAAAGCAGGGGACCUUCGGGCCUUGCGCUAAUAGAUGAGCCUAAGUCGGAUUAGCUAGUUGGUGGGGUAAAGGCCUACCAAGGCGACGAUCUGUAGCGGGUCUGAGAGGAUGAUCCGCCACACUGGGACUGAGACACGGCCCAGACUCCUACGGGAGGCAGCAGUGGGGAAUAUUGGACAAUGGGGGGAACCCUGAUCCAGCCAUGCCGCGUGUGUGAAGAAGGCCUUUUGGUUGUAAAGCACUUUAAGCGAGGAGGAGGCUACCGAGAUUAAUACUCUUGGAUAGUGGACGUUACUCGCAGAAUAAGCACCGGCUAACUCUGUGCCAGCCGCCGCGGUAAAAC
rnacentral:rRNA from 1 species